GAGUUUGAUCCUGGCUCAGAACGUACGCUGGCGGCACGCCUAACACAUGCAAGUCGAACGAAGUAGCAAUACUUAGUGGCAGGCGGGUGAGUAACAUGUAGGUAUCUGCCCUUUGGCCUGGAAUAACACGAGGAAACUUGUGCUAAUACCGGAUAAGUCUUUACGGAGAAAGCUUUAUGCACCAUUGGAUGAGCCUGCACUUGAUUAGUUUGUUGGUGGGGUAAUGGCCUACCAAGACUGUGAUCAAUAGCUGAUUUGAGAGGAUGAUCAGCCACAUUGGGACUGAGACACGGCCCAAACUCCUACGGGAGGCAGCAGUGGGGAAUCUUGCACAAUGGAGGAAACUCUGAUGCAGCGAUGCCGCGUGAGUGAAGAAGGCCCUUGGGUUGUAAAGCUCUUUCGUCGGGGAAGAAAAUGACUGUACCCGAAUAAGAAGGUCCGGCUAACUUCGUGCCAGCAGCCGCGGUAAUACGAAGGGACCUAGCGUAGUUCGGAAUUACUGGGCUUAAAGAGUUCGUAGGUGGUUGAAAAAGUUAGUGGUGAAAUCCCAGAGCUUAACUCUGGAACUGCCAUUAAAACUUUUCAGCUAGAGUAUGAUAGAGGAAAGCAGAAUUUCUAGUGUAGAGGUGAAAUUCGUAGAUAUUAGAAAGAAUACCAAUUGCGAAGGCAGCUUUCUGGAUCAUUACUGACACUGAGGAACGAAAGCAUGGGUAGCGAAGAGGAUUAGAUACCCUCGUAGUCCAUGCCGUAAACGAUGUGUGUUAGACGUUGGAAAUUUAUUUUCAGUGUCGCAGGGAAACCGAUAAACACACCGCCUGGGGAGUACGACCGCAAGGUUAAAACUCAAAUGAAUUGACGGGGACCCGCACAAGUAGUGGAGCAUGUGGUUUAAUUCGAAGAUACGCGCAGAACCUUACCAACACUUGACAUGUUCGUCGCGACUCUAAGAGAUUAGAGUUUUCGGUUCGGCCGGACGAAACACAGGUGCUGCAUGGCUGUCGUCAGCUCGUGUCGUGAGAUGUUGGGUUAAGUCCCGCAACGAGCGCAACCCUCACUUUUAGUUGCCAUCAUUAAGUUGGGCACUCUGAAAGAACUGCCAGUGAUAAGCUGGCGGAAGGUGGGGAUGACGUCAAGUCCUCAUGGCCCUUACGUGUUGGGCUACACACGUGCUACAAUGGUAUCUACAACAGGAAGCAAGACUGCGAAGUUAAGCAAAUCCCUAAAAGAUACCUCAGUUCGGAUUGCACUCUGCAACUCGAGUGCAUGAAGCUGGAAUUACUAGUAAUCGUGGAUCAGCGUGCCACGGUGAAUGCGUUCCCGGGUCUUGUACACACCGCCCGUCACACCAUGGGAGUUGGUUCUACCUUAAGGCAAGGUUUCAAACCCUUGACCACGGUAUAGUCAGCGACUGGGGUGAAGUCGUAACAAGGUAACC
rnacentral:rRNA from 1 species